UGCAUUCACUACUGUAAGUCACUCUGGAUAAUAGUGUCUGCUAAAUGACUAAAA
rfam:Salmo salar isolate Sally breed double haploid chromosome ssa01, whole genome shotgun sequence.